GAUGAACGCUGACAGAAUGCUUAACACAUGCAAGUCAACUUGAACUUCGGUUUGGGUGGCGGACGGGUGAGUAACGCGUAAAGAACUUGCCUCACAGCUAGGGACAACAUUUGGAAACGAAUGCUAAUACCUGAUAUUAUGAUUAUAUGGCAUCGUAUAAUUAUGAAAGCUAUAUGCGCUGUGAGAGAGCUUUGCGUCCCAUUAGCUAGUUGGAGAGGUAACAGCUCACCAAGGCGAUGAUGGGUAGCCGGCCUGGGAGGGUGACCGGCCACAAGGGGACUGAGACACGGCCCUUACUCCUACGGGAGGCAGCAGUGGGGAAUAUUGGACAAUGGACCGAGAGUCUGAUCCAGCAAUUCUGUGUGCACGAUGAAGUUUUUCGGAAUGUAAAGUGCUUUCAGUUGGGAAGAAAAAAAUGACGGUACCAACAGAAGAAGUGACGGCUAAAUACGUG
rnacentral:rRNA from 1 species